rnacentral:rRNA from 1 species
GAUGAACGCUGGCGGCGUGCUUAACACAUGCCAGUCGAACGAAGCACUUUAUUUGAUUUCCUUCGGGACUGAUUAUUUUGUGACUGAGUGGCGGACGGGUGAGUAACGCGUGGGUAACCUGCCUUGUACAGGGGGAUAACAGUUGGAAACGGCUGCUAAUACCGCAUAAGCGCACGGCAUCGCAUGAUGCAGUGUGAAAAACUCCGGUGGUAUAAGAUGGACCCGCGUUGGAUUAGCUAGUUGGUGAGGUAACGGCCCACCAAGGCGACGAUCCAUAGCCGACCUGGGAGGGUGCCCGGCCACAUUGGGACUGCGACACGGCCCAAACUCCUACGGGAGGCAGCAGUGGGGAAUAUUGCACAAUGGGCGAAAGCCUGAUGCAGCGACGCCGCGUGAGCGAAGAAGUAUUUCGGUAUGUAAAGCUCUAUCAGCAGGGAAGAUAAUGACGGUACCUGACUAAGAAGCACCGGCUAAAUACGUG